AGUGAGGAAGUCAGCCCUGCCCCUGUGAGCUUGUGGAAGGCUCACACCAAAGGCCAUCCUCCUGAUUCAGUAAGGAGGCUGUAGUCAAGUUCAGAUACCACCUCCCUCCAGCCGGCUGGCCUUUGAGGAUGCUCAGACCUGUCCCUGGUGUCCACACCUUAGGAUCACUCAUCAUCAGUGUUCUAGUAAGAGGGGCACCACACCAAGGAAUAGGAAACACGGUAGGGGGACCACAGAAGGACCUUUCCUCUGGGUGUCUCAUAAAAUGUGAUGAGGGAGACUCCAUGUGUCGGAACCAGGGAACUUUUGCACUUCUCCCCCUUCCUUCCCUCUUGCUGCUAUUUCGGGUGAGGUUCCAUAUUUCCCCUCCCACUCUGAACAUCCCCUGCUCUAGGGCACUAAUUUGGGUUAUGCAAGGUAAGGUCCUCAGUGAGGAGAUUAACAAAAUUAACCCGGGAGGUCAAACAGUCCCAGGCCCUAAGGGGAAGCAGCAAGGAGGGAUCCGGGGCGGAGCUCCCAGCCGGUGGCACCACACACCCGGACCAAUCGUGGUCCGUGCCGCGGCCGACCCGGCCCCAAGUCACACUGCAGGAAGACCUGGGGUUGGUGCUCCGUCUACGCAUGCGCCAAUCCACACCUUCGCCUUCAGCCACCGCCUGAGCUCCCCAGUAGUCACUCUGGAGACGAGUGUAGGCUCCGGCAUCGACUCCCAGGCCUGAUGAGUGGGAGGGAAGGGUGGGUCCCCACCCUGUUAGGUUCCUCCGUGACAUAAUGGGAACUCAAGCCUUGCUCUAGGGCCUGUCGACGCCAGGAGACCUCAGACUCGGGGUCGCAGACGGAGCGCAGGGACGGACGGCGCGGCCCUUUGUGUGUGCACGUUGCCAGCCUCCAUCCCUACUCCCCAGACUGCACUUUUCACAGCCUCUCUCCUGCCCUUGCAUCCCGCCUACGCAGCACAUUCAGUCACCCGGCAACAGCGCUCACCGUGGCAUCCUGCCCCGCGUAGUGGCUGAGGACCCGGGAACCUCCCGGGUGCCGUCUGGUGAACUCGCUGAUGUUGUAUACCUUCCGGUCAAUCACGAGCCAUCGCUCUUUGUCGCGUCCCGAGCGCUGCGCC